UACGAAGGGGGCUAGCGUUGUUCGGAAUCACUGGGCGUAAAGGGCGCGUAGGCGGCUUGAUAAGUCGGGGGUGAAAGCCUGUGGCUCAACCACAGAAUUGCCUUCGAUACUGUCUGGCUCGAGACCGGAAGAGGUAAGUGGAACUGCGAGUGUAGAGGUGAAAUUCGUAGAUAUUCGCAAGAACACCAGUGGCGAAGGCGGCUCACUGGUCCGGUACUGACGCUGAGGUGCGAAAGCGUGGGGAGCAAACAGG
rnacentral:rRNA from 1 species